rnacentral:misc_RNA from 1 species
GCUGCAUAAGAAAAUGCAAUUCACAAGAGUUGCCCUGAUUUGAAAAAUUCUUCUGAUGCACCUCUUUGUUAUAUGCCAUUUUAUGUUAGUAAGGGCUUCCAACAAAAAAAGGCAUUAACUAAAUCACCCAUUAAUUUCAGACACAGUGAACAUACAGUGGUACCCAUCAAAACUAUAUUAGCUAGAACAUAAUUACCAAGAUUAACAAAUGAGGGAUGAAAUAACAGUGAAAGAAG